GUCAAUUACCCAUCAAUAUAUACAAUGUCUUGUUUAGAAGUGUUUUUUAUUUACAUUAUCUUUAUUUCAGUCAGAAUUAUUACCAUCAUAUCCACAGGCCGCUGCAUUUACUCUCAAUGUAUCUUUCUUUAUAACGGAUUGGGGUGUGUCGGGAGUAGAACCGUUAUUAACCAGUAAAUACAUACAAGGGACGCCUCCACGAUUUGAGCGCUAUAAAAAUAUAUUUAUUCCAAAAAGAACACAAAGCAUAAACACUCAUGAAAUCCAGCCUAAAAAGGGAUAUAAUCGAAUUCUACUAAGAACUCACAAUGUUGUUCUAUAUCAUUAUAGAAAAUGUCCACGUGAUGAUAUCAAAUGGAAAUACUGUAUGCAUAUAAAACCACGUAUUGAUAAAACAAUGUAUCAAUUGAUGCCAAAACUGCUAAGCAAUGUGAUGGACGUGAAGGCACGAACUGGUAUCUCCUAAGGUUAUUUGUUCAGUGUUCUAAUGCACGUCUUUUGAUGCAGAUCUCCAAAAUGACAGACUUACAUUGUGUUAUUAAAAAUUACGAUAUUUU